rnacentral:rRNA from 1 species
GACAGAGGGUGCAAACGUGGCUCGGAAUUACGGGGCGUAAAGCGCGUGUAGGCGGACCUGCAAGUCGGACGUGAAAGCCCUGGGCUCAACCCAGGAACUGCAUCCGAAACUGCGGGCCUGGAGUGGUGGAGAGGGAAGCAGAAUUCCUGGUGUAGAGGUGAAAUUCGUAGAUAUCAGGAGGAACACCGGUGGCGAAGGCGGCUUCCUGGACACUUACUGACGCUGAGACGCGAAAGCGUGGGGAGCAAACAGG